ACCCAAUUACCAAAAAAAAAAAAAAAAAAAAAAAAAAACACUCCCCUGCCUCAACAGAUCAUCAUCUCCCCCAAAGCCCCAAUCCCUUCUCAACCCUCAAACCUCACCAUGGCGAACUCUUACCAUGGCAAGCUCUCUCCCGUGAUCUCCCAUGGCGAGCUCUGACCAUGUCCUCCCUGCGGCAUUCUCUCUCAUCUCGUGUCGAUCUCCUCUCCGCGAAACAUCUUCCGUCGUCAAGGCGGAGCUCCUCGACGACCCCGCCUUCGACUUCACUGACGAGUCGCGCCAAUGGAUCGAUCGGGCUUUUAGGGAGCAAGGGAUCGAGGGGCCGCCGCCGUCGUUCGUCUCCGGUAAUCUACGGGAGAUUACGAGGAGGAGCCCGCGGCCGGCGACGGUGGCGAAGGGGCGAGGUUUUGUCGACUAUUCGCAAGCUCUCUUUCCUUAUUUCACUCAAUGGAGCAAAGAUUAUGAUGUUGGACUACAAUGUGCCUGGAGGUUAGAGAAUUCUCUAUUUCUGAGGAAAUGAUGAAAUGCAUAUGUUUAAGCAGUCCCUGACUUGACAGAUAUGACUACUGGUAGGGAAACUAAACCGUGGACUAUCAGUGAUUGAUAGCUACAAGUUGUUAAAAGCCGGUGUUGAGGUCACUGAAGAUGAAAUCUUUCUUGGGUGUGCCCUUAAUUGGUUGGUGCAUUGAAUGGCUUCAAGCAUAUUUCCUUGUACUUGAUGAUAUUAUGGACAAUUCUCAUACAAGACGUGGUCAGCUUUGUUGGUAUAGAGUUCCCAAGGUUUAGCUCACUGAAGCCAUAAUUCCUACUUGAGGACAGAAGAAGAAGAUAGGUGUAGACUAUCACUAGAGAGUGUUCAGAAAACAAUACCACACGCAAUGAGUGGUGUUGUUGUAUGUUGACAUGCGUCACAUGCGAAUCAAUAUUUGUUUUGAGUCUUUUGGAGCCACUUAAUGAGUUGGACAGUUUUUCUUAAUGCAAGGCUGAUGAGGACGCUGCAGAUGCUUCGACUCUGAUAGGAAUUCCUCUAAAGACGUCGCACGUGAAAUUUGUUCUUCACAAGGAAUGCCUAUUUGGUCAACGGUUUCUUCUCGUUGGCGAUGACUCGAAUAUCAGUUCUUGGGAUCCAUCAAAAGCCAUUCCUUUGGAAUGGUCUGAUGGCCAUGUGUGGACAACUGAGCUGGUAAGUUUAAGAGAUCCCAUACUCUCUACUAACAUUAUUAGUUCAAUUACUUUUUACGUAUCUGAUCUGGUACUUUCAUUCAGGAUUUACCAAUCAAAGUGAUAGGUUGAUAUUAUUACUGUGAGAUUCUUCAAUAAUCAGUAUGAUUCUUUUUUGCUUGUCUUCAAAGUGCAUGAAGUUUGGAAUAUUGAUCUAAAAAAAUAAGGACUAAAUGAUUUCAUUAAAUAUUUAAAUGAUGAUUUUAAGCUUAAUCAUGUUGUGAAUAUACAAUAUGUAGUAAGACAUACAAACGAUGUUUUGGAUCAUUGUAAAGCUAGUAGCACAUUAAGCUUAAUUCUGUAGGCACUUCUCUACCCUUAAUUGGAUAAAGUGAUACAAUAUUAAAUGAUACAAUGUGUCCUAGAUUUUUGGCUCUUUUGUUGUUCUCUUUUUAUUGGUGCCAUAUGCUUCAUGAGUUGUGGUAAAUUAUUAAGUGCAAUUA